AGGACGAACGCUGGCGGCGUGCUUAACACAUGCAAGUGGAGCGACGAACCAGGGCUUGCCCUGGGGCAGAGCCGCGAACGGGUGAGUAACACGUGGGUUACCUGCCUCGAUGACCGGGACAACCCGAGGAAACUCGGGCUAAUACCGGAUGUGCCCGCAAGGGGAAAGGAAGCUUCGGCCUCCGCAUCGAGAUGGGCCCGCGGCCCAUUAGCUUGUUGGUGAGGUAACGGCUCACCAAGGCUUCGAUGGGUAGCUGGUCUGAGAGGACGAUCAGCCACACUGGGACUGAGACACGGCCCAGACUCCUACGGGAGGCAGCAGUGGGGAAUCUUGCGCAAUGCGCGAAAGCGUGACGCAGCAACGCCGCGUGGGGGAAGAAGGCUUUCGGGUUGUAAACCCCUUUCAGUUGGGACGAAGCUUCGGCGGUGAAUAGCCGUUCGGAGUGACGGUACCUUCACAAGAAGCACCGGCUAACUACGUGCCAGCAGCCGC
rnacentral:rRNA from 1 species